rnacentral:rRNA from 1 species
GACGAACGCUGGCGGCGUGCCUAAUACAUGCAAGUCGAGCGGACGAUUCGAAAGCUUGCUUUUGAAUCGUUAGCGGCGGACGGGUGAGUAACACGUGGGCAACCUGCCCUGUAGACGGGGAUAACACCGAGAAAUCGGUGCUAAAACCGGAUAACACGACAUGUAGCAUGACGUUUCGUUGAAAGGCGGCGCACGCUGCCGCUACAGGAUGGGCACGCGGCGCAUUAGCUCGUUGGUGAGGUAACGGCUCACCAAGGCGACGAUGCGUAGCCGACCUGAGAGGGUGAUCGGCCACACUGGGACUGAGACACGGCCCAGACUCCGACGGGAGGCAGCAGUAGGGAAUCUUCCGCAAUGGACGAAAGUCUGACGGAGCAACGCCGCGUGAGCGAAGAAGGCCUUCGGGUCGUAAAGCUCUGUUGUUAGGGAAGAACAAGUAACGUAGUAACUGACGUUACUAUGACGGUACCUAACGAGAAAGCCACGGCUAACUACGUG